AAGCCAGUCAACUGAUCUGCUGAUCUGAACGUGUAUCUGCAGAAGGCUAGAAAAGCUGGCAAUAGUAAGGCCAUGUUACAAGCCUUAAGGAACCUAUAGUCAUUAAGGUCCCUGAGAAUGGCUAUAAUA
rnacentral:snoRNA from 1 species